rnacentral:lncRNA from 1 species
CAUGUGAGGUUUCUCUCCUGUAUGAAUUCUCCUAUGUUUUGCAUAGGAUGAAGCUUGACUGAAGACCUUGCCACAGUCAUGACAUUUGUAAGGUUUCUCUCCAGCGUUGAGUUCACCGAUGAACUGCAAGGUAUGAACAAUGUCUGAAAAAUCUGCCACAUUUAUUACCCUAGUAUGAUCUCUCUUCCUUAUGGAUUCUCCAGUGAUUCACAAUGGUUGUAGCAUUACUGAAGACUUUGUGACAAUCAUUACCUUAGUAAAGUUUCCCUACACCAUGGAUUGCCUGACGGUAAACAAGUGUUGACUGCCUACUAAAGGCUUUGCCACACUCAUUACACUGGUAAGGUUUCUCUCCAGUGUGAAUUCUAGCAUGUUGUGCCAGGUGCGAAUCAUGCCCAAAAGCCUUGUCACAAACUCUUACAUUUUUAUGGUUUCUCUCCAGUAUGAAUUCUCCUGUCUUUCACGGUUUGAUGUGCGACUGUAAACUUUGUGACAUUCUUCACAUUUAUAAGCUUUCUCUCCAGUAUGAAUUCUCCUGUCUUCUGAGGCUUGAUUUGCCACUGUAAACUUUAUCACAUGCUUCACAUUUCUAAGGUUUCUCCCCAGUAUGAAUUCUAUGAUGACCUGCAAGGUGUGCUUGUUGAUUAAAAACCUCACCACAUUCAUUACACUUGUUUUUCUCCAGUAUGAAGUCUACGAUGGCAUGUAAGGUUUGACUUCUGACUAAAGGUCUUGCCACACUCAUUACACUUGUAAGGUUUCUCUCCAGUAUGAAGUCUAUGGUGGCAUAUAAGGGAUGACUUCUGACUAAAGUUCUUGCCACACUCAUUACACUUAUAAGGUUUCUCUCCAGUAUGAAGUCUAUGAUGGCAUAUAAAAUAUGACUUCCGACUAAAGGUCUUGCCACACUCAUUACACUUGUAAGGUUUCUCUCCAGUAUGAAUUCUCCUAUGUCCUUCAAGGUUUGAUUUCACACGGAAAGCUUUGUCACAUUCUUCACAUUUGUAAGGUUUCUCUCCGGUAUGAAGUCUACGAUGGCAUGUAAGGGAUGACGUCCGACUGAAGGUCUUGCCACACUCAUUACACUUGUAAGGAUUCUCUUCAGUAUGAAUUUUCUGAUGUAUUUCAAGGUUUGAUUUGAAACUGUAAGCUUUGUCACUAUCUUCACAUUUGUAAGGGUUCUCUCCACUAUGAAGUCUACGAUGGCGUUUAAGGGUUAACUGCUGAUUGAAGGUCUUGCCACACUCCUUACACUUGUAAGGUUUCUCUCCAGAAUGAAGUCUACGAUGGCAGGUAAGGGAUGACUUCCAACUAAAGGUCUUGCCGCACUCAUUACACUUGUAAGCUUUCUCUCCAGUAUGAAGUCUAUGAUGGCAUGUGAGGUAUGACUUCCGACUAAAGGUCUUGCCACACUCAUUACACUUGUAUGGUUUCUCUCCAGUAUGAAUUCUCCUAUGUCUUUCAAGGUUUGAUUUGAAACGGAAAGCUUUGUCACAUUCUUCACAUUUGUAAGGUUGCUCUCCAGUAUGACGUCUACGAUGGCAUGUAAGGGAUGAUGUCCGGCUAAAGGUUUCUCUCCAGUAUGAAGUCUACGAUGGCAUGUAAGGGAUGACGUCUGACUGAAGGUCUUGCCACACUCAUUACACUUGUAAGGAUUCUCACCAGUGUGACAUCUACGAUGGCAUGCUAGGUUUCGCUUCUGAUUAAAGAGCUUGCCACAUACAUCACAUUUAUAUUUGUCUGCUAAAUGGAUUAUCUGAUGUUUCCUUAAGAGUGAGCUGUAAUUAAAGGCUUUGCCACUCUCAUUACAUUGGAAAGAUUUUUCUCUCAUGUGUACUUCCUGUUUUUGUGUGAGUAAUGAAGAAUUCCAGAAAUUAUUCCCAUGGUUAUUAGAUAUAUGGGUUUU